AUAAUAUUUGACGAAUGAUUUGGAUCAGCAUUUUGUCGAUGGGAAAUAGUGUGUUGUUGGUAGUUAUUUAGUUCGACACAGUAUGCUUACCAGCAGCAUCAGUUUAAUUUUGAAACUGUUUUAAACGCUUGCUGACAGGAGCAAGAAUUUUUCAAAAUUUUGUGACACAUGAUGACCUCAUCAUAUACAUUUCACUACACGGAAAUAGAUUAAAAAUAUUUUGUUGCCCAACGAAUUCCCGAGGACGAUCCAAAACAAAACAUCAUAACAGAAUACGUUUUGCGUUAGCUAGGUUCAAAUAUUCGAGUCAUCCAGGGAGCCGGGAUUUGGUAAUUAUUAUGUACGUUUCGGCCUCCCGUUCAGAAGGGCAGACACGACUUAGUUGAUAGCUAUACGUAGUAAUUAGAAGGAAGUUGAUAUACAAUAUGUUCGUAAGGCUUACUUCCUCUCAAAGUUUAAUGUGCAAUACGUGCGUUACACUGGAAAAAAAUUCCAACAUAUUUACUAAGAUUUCUAUAACUUCCUAUUAUUUUGUUCUGAUAAUUUCACUCAGUGUUGUACUUGGGUUCAUUGGCCGCACGUUUAUUGUCAUAUCGCACAGCCCUAGUUAUCUGACUUAGACGAACUCGGGCUAAGGCAAACCCUGAUACUAUGAUGAAUAUAAUUUGUGUAUUUUGCUUUUUGAAUAAUAAUGUUCUUAUUCACCGUAUGUUAGUAUUUAUCAUUUCAAACUGGGUGAAACUGAACGUGGAGAUUUACUUUUUAAAGACAGAAUUUAGUAAAUAACUUUCAGAUUUUUCAGUAUGCAUAUUCCGCCUAAAUACAGAGACGAUAAUAUACGAAUGUAAAAAACGUAAAAUAAAUUGUUAAUAUAUCAGCAAACACCAAAUUCGAUAAAAUGUUUUGCUUAAAAUAAACAGGAAUAUUGGUGAAGAUUCUUUCAUAUGAUUAACGAUAGAUUGCUACUACUUUUAAGUAUAUUUCUUGAGUAACUCCUGUAGAUGUUCCGUGAAUAUUUUCACGUUGACAUACUCUGCUAUGCAAGAAUUAGAUCAGAUAUGGUUCGCUUCAUGACAUUUAUCAUUUCAUUUCUUCUUUAUUUUUACAUAUUCAAGCUCAGUCGGUUUUGGUCUCUCGAACGAACGUCACCAUCAACAAACCGGGCUCAUACAACGUAACAUGUGAGGCUGUUGGGUUCAAUUCAUCAAUAAAUAUGCCAUGGUUUUCCAAAAGUGGAUUUGAUCAUAUUCCGUCAAUAUCUAGUAACCGAGUCUUCCAGUCAAUGUCAAAUUCUACAGCAGUUUUACAUAUUGUCGAUGCAUAUUACGCAGACGAGGGAUUUUACUUCUGUUCUGAAACUUGGGCAAAUGUAACACAUAAUACAACAGUAUAUAUUGCAGUUUCAGUUCCAAGCAAGCCUUCAAUAAAAUUAAUCGAAACCGUUUCGUGUAAUGGAAACGUCACUGUUCAUUGGGAACCACAUGCAAACGCUGUUGGAUUAAGGCACAAAAUAGAGGCUUUUAACUCAUCAAACAAUCUCGUUUCAUCUAAAUUUAUUUCUGUCAACGC